GACGAACGCUGGCGGCGUGCUUAACACAUGCAAGUCGAACGGAAAGGCCAUGCGUUUGUGGGGUGCUCGAGUGGCGAACGGGGGAGUAACACGUGAGUAACCUGCCCUUGACUGUGGGAUAACUUCAGGAAACAGGGGCUAAUACCGGAUAGGAGCUCCUGCUGCAUGGGGGGGGUAGGAAAGUUUCGGCUGUAGGGGAUGGACUAGCGGCUUAUCAGCUUGAUGGGGGGGUAGUGGAGUACCAAGUGUUUGACGGGUAGGCGGCCUGGGAGGGUGAACGGCGACAAUGGGACUGCGAUAGGCCCCAGACUGCUACGUGCGGCAGCAGUGGAGAAUAUUGCGCAACGGGCGGACGCGUGAUAUAGCAACCCCGCGUUCGUGAUGCCGGCUUACGGGGUAUAAACCGCUUUCGCCUGAACCGAAGCGUGCGUGACGGUAAUGAGUCAAGAAGCACCGGCUAACUACGUG
rnacentral:rRNA from 1 species